rnacentral:lncRNA from 1 species
UCCAACUACACUAGUCCAAAUGCCAUUCCACUACAACAGAAUUAGGUUAUAGGGACACAUGUUUGGGACACUUUUGAGUAAGUGUCCCAUUUAUGCUAAAAUUUUAAAAAACAUCUACUUAUGCCUAAAUAUAAAGCCCAAUCCAACUAAAAAUAAAAGAUUACUCUACUCAACCCACCACACCCAGUCCAUUUGACCCGAUUACAAAUAGAAAAGAAAAAAAAAAAAAUCAAUUACCAUCUUUUCUUCUCUCUUCACUCAAUCCACUGAAAUUCUAGACGAAGAGCCUUUCCUGUCGUCCUCCUCCGCCAUCGCAGCCAACGAGAUAGAGUUUCGGUGGUUGCUAAAUGCUUAAAUAAGUGUUCGUAAAUUAGCAGCACCCUUUUAGGUUAUAGCGACACUCUUUAACUGUCACUAUAUACCUAGCGACCCCACAUAUAGCAACACUUUUUAAAAAUAUCGGUAAUUUUAGCUAGCAGCACUUUUUUGACAUGUACCUACAUUUAAAAGUAUCGCUAUAGACCGUUUUUGUUGUAGUGUUCUUUGGUUUACAUGCUACUACUUAGGAAAUCAUCAUCUAUUCCUAACUUCAUGUCAUAGUGUUUCUACUACACUAGUCCAAAUGCCACUCAUUGAGUUCAUUUACAUGUCCAAGUUCAUCUUUUGUUCUUUGGCACUAUAGAAUUCCAUGUCAAGACCCAAUCCGCAUGUGUCCACUAAAUCAAGUGCUCAACUCACUAUAUGAUUUCUACGAUGGAAACAUGCAAGGAAUUGAAGUGCAAUUUACUUAACAUAACCUAUAAUGCAUGCUAACAAUACAUGAACAUAUGCUAUAAUAAAAUAACUUAGGCAUAGGAAGAAGUUCAACUACUUCGGGAUGGACACCCCCCACCUUCUAGUAAUGCCUCGAAGCUAGGUUCCGACUUUCGUAAUUUUCCGCCGCCAAUCUCUCUCGACUGCGGCAAAUGAAGCCAAAAACAAGCUUUUCUUUAAUAUCUUCGCGCCGACUCUUCGGAUCGCCGAACUGAGUUCACCAACGCGUUCGAUUAUCUAGCAGAUAUGUAUAAAAGAGAUCAAUCCCUACUUUAGAUCUUAGCUUUAACAAACACCCUUUCUAACCCUAGAUGUUCAACUUUGCAAAAAUACCCCACGCGGAGCCUCGAUUCAAGCGAAUAACAUCUACUUAGCAUCAAAGGGUUCUACUACAACCAUUUCUAGAGCUUAAAACACAAACCCUAGAAAUCUACCAUUAAAGCUCCAAGAGCUUACCUCAAAACCUUCCUCUCUAAGCAAAGGAAGAAGAAGAAGACGAAAUUUCACUUUUUUGCUUCAAUCUCCACCAAUCCUUCUACUUAGAUCCACCUUGGGAGAGCUUCUAGAGAGAGAAAAUGAGAAAAAGAGAUAAGGAGGAGUGUUCUCUGGCUGUGAACACAAGAGAGGGCGAUGGGGUUUAUUUAUAGGCUGCCACAAUUGCAUAAAAGCCUCUCAACACUUGCUAUUUGCAACAUACUGCAUUCUGCAGUUUUCAGCACCUAGUACCGGUACGCCUUGAUUAGUCAACGGUUAACUAGCUUCGCAGAGGCCAAACCCGAGAGUUGCUACUCUCGGGUUGCUAUGGGGUACCGGUACUACAUGAUUUAGUCACCGGUUAACAAUGCUCCAGAAUGCAGUUUUGCAUCGUUUCGACUCUAUUUCGCGCCGAGCAACGCUAAAGCCUUUCUAACUCACUUGGAGUUCAACUUUAACCCUUCAAACAUUAUUGGAAUGUCAAAUGGAACAUGUCCAAAUAUCUCUCUCACCACGCUUUGAUCCUUUUGACCAAAAGUGGUUUAAUAGGAUGGGGAAAUCAAUAUCUUACAACAUAGGUGGUGAGUUGGUAGGAAAAAUAAAAAAAUGGUCAACUGUUUAUUGCUUUCUGAAAACGACAAACAGGUCGCUGCUUUUCUUCAGAAAUUUUCAUAAACUCAUGACAAUGGUAAAUAAAUUACCAUAUUCUACAUGCAGUUUUUCAUCCACCGCCUUUAAGCUUCUAGCACCUACUUUUUGAAGCUUCCAUCAAUUCACAACCAUAAAUUUUCCUAAGUGAUGGUAGGUACAGUAUGAAGAAUGCAGUGAAUGAUUCAUCAUUUAUAAAAAGGGUGAACCUUGUAGUGACUGAUUCAUCAUUUAUAAAAGGAGUUAAUCGUGUUACGGAUUUUAUAUUGGCAUAUUUUGUGAAAUGAGUCGGAGUCUUGAACGUUCGAGAAAGAAAAGAUGAAGUUAGAAGACUCGAAGACUCAAAACAUAAAUCCACAAUACUUGGUAAGUUUAAAUAUUAUUGAUAAUGAUUUAUGAUCAUAUACAUAUGUUCGGAAGACAUUAGAAUAGGUAUAAAUUGAUAAAUAUUCAAAAUUGAAGUUUUCCAAGUUUCAGGAUCCGGACACUGGUUGCAACGUCCAGACCCCGUAUGCCUUCCUGGCUAGUAUACACAAGGAGUAUCCGGACCUUGAGGGCAAGAUCCGAAUUUUCAUGUUUUUGAAACUUCAAAGUCUGGACCCUAUGUAGGGUUCGAACUCCAAAGCCGAUGUAGAUUUUUUAAAAUCAAUUUUUCAAUCCUAAUAUGAGUCUAAUUACUUCCAAACCUAUAUAUAAGAUGGAAAAUAUUUUUAAAUUUGUUUUUUCAAUCCUAAUCUAAUUUGGAAUUAAUUUUUUAAUUCUAAUCUGUCACGCCCCGCGACCGCCAAUUUGGUCGGUUCGGGUACGUCAAUCAGACGCCGAACAGACAGACCCUUUCCUGCAUGCCCAAGGCUAACAACAACGAGAUCAUGCAUGUAAACAGUUGCCUAGGGAACAAUAACCUCAUACAUGAUCUAAGCAAGAGCUAAUACAAGCAAUCAACAAAAGAGAGAAAACUCUAGCUAUUACAAUUUCAUGCAACAUACACAUCGAGUUUAUAUUUUUCAUCUCCAAAAUGUAUACAUGUUCAUCCAUAACUCCCCAAAAUACAUAUACAUCAUGUCCUCUCAUCUAUACAGGGUGUACUAAUGCAUAAAGAAAGCUGCUAGCUAACUAGGGCGCUAUGCCCUUACUGCGGUCCUCACCCGGUCCGCUCGUACUCGGCCCUGCAACAAAGUGGGGUGAGAACUAUAUAACUAUAGUUCCCAGUGGGUUCGGCCGCCGACUCUACCGAUCUUCCCACUAGGUCUAAGCAGGCAUAAAUAGAUAGAUAGAUAGAUAUGAAAAUGAGCUGCUACAUAGUAACAAAACCUACAACAUGCGACUAUGCCUCAAUAUACAGAAUGAAUGCAUGAACAUAGUAAUGUACUCUACUAACAUGAUACUAUGUUUCAACCUGCAAGAUAUAAAGGAAAUGACUACAUAGUAAUGAAAUCUACUAUCAAGUACUAUAUCUAAUGUCCAAUCUCAUCUCGGCUAACUAAAAGGUUGCGCCCAAACUCACAUCUCAAAUCUCGCGGUGAGUAGACUCUGCGCUACGCCCACCUGAGACCGCCUGCGGGACAACUACGUCUGUCCCAACGCGACAUCUACUCCGGAGCUCACUACUUGGGGUGGAGCGACCACGCCAAGGUUACAGAAACUAUGUGAGUACGAUCCAAUCCUCUCACUCGAGGAUAGUUAGUGCCUCUAUUGCACUAGUUCACAUGCUAUUACUUAGGAAAUCAUCUUUUAUCCCUAAGUUCAUAUCAUCAAAUUGUAAGUGUUUCCACUAUACAAGUCCAAAUGCCACUCGUUGGUUUACAUGCUACUACUUAGGAAAUCGUCAUCUAUUCCUAAGUUUAUGUCGUAGUGUUUCUACUACACUAGUCUAAAUGCCACUCUUUGAGUUCAUUUACAUGUCCAAGUUCAUCUUUUGUUCUUUUGGCACUAUAGAAUUCCAUGUCAAGAUCCAAUCCUCAUGUGUCCACUAAAUCAAGUACUCAACUCACUAUAUGAUUUCUACUAUGAAAACAUGUAAGGAAUUAAAGUACAAUUACUUAACAUAAUCUACAAUGCAUGCUAACAAUAUAUGAACAUAUGCUAUAAUAAAAUAACUCGGACAUAGGAGAAAGUUCAACUGCUUCGGGAUGGACACCCCCCACCUUUUGGUGAUGCCACGAAGCUAGACUCCAACUCUCGUAAUUUUCUGCCGCCUAAUUCCCUUGACUGCGGCAAACGAAGCCAAAAACAGGCUUUUCUUUAAUAUCGUCGCGCCGACUUGUCGAAUCGCCAAACCGAGUUCAUCUGUAAUGUACCAGAUUGUAAUAUAAAAUUAAGUGUAAAUAAAAAUAGUAUAAGAUACUAUUUUUAUUGGACUUAAAGAAGUAAAAUGUAAGUCUGGAAUGACUCGUGCUAAAAUCAGAAUAAAAAUAGGAGAUUUAGAAUUUUCUGUGAGACACGGGCUGGUAUUUUUAGCAGAAAAUGCACAGUGACGGAAAAUUUUGAAAAUCUGAAAAUAUGUCAGAAUUAUUUUUUUGAGGCUAGAUUUAAAGUUUCAUAUCAUUCUGACACCCGAAAAGUGAAAAAUAAAAUCCGACUGCUAUCUGCUAGAGAUUACAGUUCGGUAGAGCUUUCGGUGACCAAAAAUUGUCGAAACUGAAAAAUUAAGAUAUAUUCCGUUUAUUUAGCAAAAAUCGAGCCUGACUGUCAAAUUUGAGCGUGAAUGAACAUUCAGAAGAACCGGCGAAAGGUAUCUGAUCCUGAGCUGCUAAACUCCUAGUGUGAAUAGUGUUUUGAGGGUGUUAAUUAUAAAAGAA